rfam:Salmo salar isolate Sally breed double haploid chromosome ssa14, whole genome shotgun sequence.
UGGUUCAGUUGGUAGAGCAUGGUGUUUGCAACGCCAGGGUUGUGGGUUUGAUUCCCAC